rnacentral:rRNA from 1 species
GAUGAACGCUGGCGGCGUGCCUAAUACAUGCAAGUCGAGCGAACGGACGAGAAGCUUGCUUCUCUGAUGUUAGCGGCGGACGGGUGAGUAACACGUGGAUAACCUACCUAUAAGACUGGGAUAACUUCGGGAAACCGGAGCUAAUACCGGAUGAUAUUUUGAACCGCAUGGUUCAAAAGUGAAAGACGGUCUUGCUGUCACUUAUAGAUGGAUCCGCGCUGCAUUAGCUAGUUGGUAAGGUAACGGCUUACCAAGGCAACGAUGCAUAGCCGACCUGAGAGGGUGAUCGGCCACACUGGAACUGAGACACGGUCCAUACUCCUACGGGAGGCAGCAGUAGGGAAUCUUCCGCAGUAGGCGAAAGCCUGACGGAACAACGCCGCGUGAGUGAUGAAGGUCUUCGGAUCGUAAAACUCUGUUAUUAGGGAAGAACAUAUGUGUAAGUAACUGUGCACAUCUUGACGGUACCUAAUCAGAAAGCCACGGCUAACUACGUG